rnacentral:rRNA from 1 species
ACGCUCGACACCUACGGGAGGCAGCAGUUGGGAAUAUUGGGCAAUGGGCGCAAGCCUGACCCAGCAACGCCGCGUGAAGGAAGAAGGCCCUCGGGUUGUAAACUUCUUUUGUCAGGGACGAAGCAAGUGACGGUACCUGACGAAUAAGCCACGGCUAACUACGUGCUAGCAGCCGCGGUAAUCUGAGCGGGCUGGCAAGGC